rnacentral:rRNA from 1 species
UGGGGAAUAUUGGACAAUGGGGGCAACCCUGAUCCAGCCAUGCCGCGUGUGUGAAGAAGGCUUUCGGGUUGUAAAGCACUUUCAGCGAGGAGGAAGGCUCUAAAGUUAAUACCUUUAGGGAUUGACGUUACUCGCAGAAGAAGCACCGGCUAACUCCGUGCCAGCAGCCGCGGUAAUACGGAGGGUGCAAGCGUUAAUCGGAAUUACUGGGCGUAAAGCGCGCGUAGGUGGUUAGGUAAGCGAGAUGUGAAAGCCCCGGGCUUAACCUGGGAACGGCAUUUCGAACUGUCUGACUAGAGUGUGGUAGAGGGUAGUGGAAUUUCCUGUGUAGCGGUGAAAUGCGUAGAUAUAGGAAGGAACACCAGUGGCGAAGGCGGCUACCUGGACCAACACUGACACUGAGGUGCGAAAGCGUGGGGAGCAAACAG